GAAGAGGGGCGCCUCCCUCUCUCCCUCUCUCCCUCUCUCGCGGUCUCUCUCUCCCUCUCUGCCGGCGGUCUUGGCGUCGCCGGCGAGCGACGCCGGCCGCCGGUCAUCUCUCUCCUCUCUCCCCUCUCUCUCUCGGCCCCUCUCUCUCUCUCGGCCUCUCUCUCUCUCUCUACGCCAUGGCGGGCCACCGCCUCUGCCGCCGCUGCCGGGCCGCCGCUGCCGUCGCCGGUGGUUACACGGCGGUUUCACCGCCGUUGACCGAGAGAUUCGGAUAGAUCGUGAAAAAUGGGGUCGAAAGAGGUUAAUUUCGUCGCGAAUCGCCGGAAAACUGCCGCUGCCGCCGCUGGACUGCCGCCGCCGCCGAUCUGUCGCCGCCGCCGGUCUGCCGCCGCCGAGUGAUAGCAGCAGCAGCAGUGGCUGCUCCGGGUGACAGUAGCGGCGCUUUCCGGUAGUUCGGUGUCCAACGGUGCACUCUUAAAAGCUAAGUUCUUUACUUCUUUGUUAUCUAAUUUAUAUCUUGAGCAUUCUAUGUUUCUUUGAACAUGUUAUGGGCUAAUGUUAUGAAAACACUUUGGAUACAUUUGAUUGUAAAGUUGGUUUAGAAGCCGUAUCCAUGUAUAUAGAAAAAAAAAGUGUAGCAAUGGUAUUGACUAAGAGUCCAAUGUUCAAGGUCUAAGGAAAACUUGGUCUAGCAAUGUUGAUAAAGAUGAGAGUAAUUGGAUAAGUUUUACUACAUGAUGUAAUGAAAGCAAAUGUGAAGUAAAUCUUAGGAAUUUAAAUGGUUAAGGAUAAAUACCUUGAGGAAGAAAGGAAUGUAGUGUAUAAAGACUUAAUCCUCCUUCUUCAAGCACAUACUAGCAUCAUUUCUUGAGAUGAGUUUUGUUUGGAGAAUUUAGAUGGUGAAUCAAAAGGGUAGAAUCAUGAAAUGGUGUGGUAUUUAUAGAGGAAAAUGAUGCAUGAUUUUACAUGGUUAGAAGCUUGAUUUAUGAAGAGAAUGAAUUGUCCAAGGGUCAUGGACUUUUUGCCAAAUGAGGUAAGUUGUCUCGUCAAUCAUUCGUCAUGCCAAAAAUGGCAAGAAUAUUAUGUCUCGUCACUUAAAAAAGGCGUGAGCCGUCGUUUGGAAAACGUGAGCCGCUGUUUGGUUUGCGUGAUUGAUGUGAUUUGAUUUCGUCGAUUGUCUCGUCUUGAUUUGACACGCUUCUUAUCCAUUCGUGUAGGUAUCGGGGUUCAAGACGUGGCUAUUGCGCAAGAUCCGGAGGGCAUGGAGAGUAUUUUAUUUUUUUAAGAUAUUUACUUAAACGUUGAAUUCGUGUACGGACUUUUAUUUGAAACUCGGUCUUCACAAACGGACUUUCAUUAGAGCAACCAUCUAUAUUGACUAUUACUAUUUUUGUUCA